GCCAGUUCAUGCAUGCCCCUGGACCAACUCAUUUUGAAGCUGUCUUCAGAAUCCUGAGAUAUUUGAAAGGUACUCCAGGGAAAGGGAUACUCUUCAAAAAAUAUGGCCACCUACAGGUUGAAGUUUAUACUGAUGCUGAUUGGGCAGGUAGCACGACAGAUAGGAGAUCGACUUCUGGGUAUUGCUCCUUUGUUGGAGGAAACUUAGUUACUU
rnacentral:misc_RNA from 1 species